GAUGAAGAACGCAGCGAAAUGCGAUACGUAAUGUGAAUUGCAAAUUCAGUGAAUCAUCGAGUCUUUGAACGCACAUUGCGCCCCCUGGUAUUCCGGGGGGCAUGCCUGUCCGAGCGUCAAUGCUGCCCUCAAGCACGGCUUGUGUGUUGGGCCCCGUCCUCCGAUCCCGGGGGACGGGCCCGAAAGGCAGCGGCGGCACCGCGUCCGGUCCUCGAGCGUAUGGGGCUUUGUCACCCGCUCUGUAGGCCCGGCCGGCGCUUGCCGAUCAACCCAAAUUUUUAUCCAGGUUGACCUCGGAUCAGGUAGGGAUACCCGCUGAACUUAAGCAUAUCAAUAAGCGGAGA
rnacentral:misc_RNA from 1 species